rnacentral:tRNA from 1 species
CAAAUUAUAACUUAUUAUAAAAGUUUUUUAUUUACAUUAAAAAUAUAUCAUUAAAAUUGAUUAAUUUGA